GCAAUCCGGACGUUUCGUCCACUCAGCCAUCUCUCC
rnacentral:tRNA from 1 species